ACUAAAGUUGCUGCUGUUAAAACGCUCGUAGUUGGAUUUCGGUUAAUAAGAUGAUGGUCUACUUUUUUAUAAGUACGCACCUUCACUUAUUUCCUUCUUUUCACAUAUACAAUUUUAUUGUGUUGUGAAUCUUUUACUUUGAAAAAAUUAGAGUGUUCAAAGCAGGCGUAACAAAGCCUUUGAAUAUAUUAGCAUGGGAUAAUGAAAUAAGACUUUUUGCCUUAUUCUCGUUGGUUCUUUAGGGCUAAAGUAAUGAUUAAUAGGGAUAGUUGGGGUCAUUAGUAUUUAAUUGUCAGAGGUGAAAUUCUAAGAUUUAUUAAAGACUAACUACUGCGAAAGCAUUUGACAAGGAUGUUUUCAUUAAUCAAGAACGAAAGUUGGGGGAUCGAAGAUGAUCAGAUACCGUCGUAGUCUCAACCAUAAACUAUGCCGACCAAGGAUUCGGGGGUGUUAUAUGAAUGACCCUCCGGGCACUUAUAGAGAAAUCAUAAGUAUUUGGGUUCCGGGGGGAGUAUGGUCGCAAGGCUGAAACUUAAAGGAAUUGACGGAAGGGCACAACAAGGAGUGGAACUUGCGGUUUAAUUUGACCCAACACGGGAAAACUUACCAGGUCCAGACACAGUGAGGAUUGACAGAUUGAGAGCUCUUUCUUGAUUUUGUGGGUGGUGGUGCAUGGCCGUUUCUAGUUGGUGGAGUGAUUUGUCUGGUUAAUUCCGUUAACGAACGAGACCUUAACCUAUUAAAUAGUUACAUGAACUUGGGUUUACCCAAUUCGUUCAUGGAUAACUUCUUAGAGGGACUCUUCACGUAAAGAGUGAAUGGAAGUUUGAGGCAAAAACAGGUCUGUGAUGCCCUUAGAUGUUCUGGGCUACACGCGUGUUACACCGAUACAUUCAACAAGCAUUAUUAUUCCUUACCCGAUGGGGUUGGGUAAUCUUUUAAAUGUGUAUCGUGAUGGGGAUAGAGCAUUGUAAUUAUUGCUCUUGAACGAGGAAUUCCUAGUAAGUGCAAGUCAUCAACUUGCGCUGAUUACGUCCCUGCCCUUUGUACACACCGCCCGUCGCUCCUACCGAUGAAUGGUCCGGUGAGGACUUAGGAUGGCCGCGGAUUUUGGUGUUAAAGCCAUUCUGUUGUUUUGCCAGAAUUCGUUCAAACCUUAUCAUUUAAAGGAAGGAGAAGUCGUAACAAGGU
rnacentral:rRNA from 1 species